UAGUCCACGCCGUAAACGAUGAUCACUCGUUGUUGGCAAUACAUAGUCAGCGACCAAGCGAAAGUAUUAAGUGAUCCACCUGGGGAGUACGCUCGCAAGAGUGGAACUCAAAGGAAUUGACGGGGGGCCCGCACAAGCGGUGGAACAUGUGGUUUAAUUCGAUGAUACGCGAGGAACCUUACCUGGGCUUAAAUGCAGGACGACGUUUCGGGAAACCGAUACUCCCUUCGGGGCGGACUGCAAGGUGCUGCAUGGUUGUCGUCAGCUCGUGCCGUGAGGUGUCGGGUUAAGUCCCAUAACGAGCGCAACCCCUAUCGUUAGUUGCUAGCAGGUAAUGCUGAGGACUCUAGCGAAACUGCCGGUGUAAACCGCGAGGAAGGUGGGGAUGACGUCAAAUCAGCACGGCCCUUAUGUCCAGGGGCUACACACGUGUUACAAUGGGCCAGUACAAAGGGGCAGCUACCAGGCAACUGGAUGCUAAUCUCUAAAGCUGGGUCUC
rnacentral:rRNA from 1 species